CAGUAGCCACGGUAAUACGGAGGGUGCAAGCGUUGAUCGGAAUUACUGGGCGUAAAGCGUGCGUAGGCGGUUCGUUAAGUCUGUUGUGAAAGCCCCGGGCUCAACCUGGGAAUGGCAAUGGAUACUGGCGAGCUAGAGUGUGUCAGAGGAUGGUGGAAUUCCCGGUGUAGCGGUGAAAUGCGUAGAGAUCGGGAGGAACAUCAGUGGCGAAGGCGACCAUCUGGGACAACACUGACGCUGAGGCACGAAAGCGUGGGGAGCAAACAGGAUUAGAUACCCCCGUAGUCCCUGUCUCUUAUAC
rnacentral:rRNA from 1 species